rnacentral:sRNA from 2 species
CAACGCCCAAGCAAUCUCCUGUCUUGUCGGGAACGCAGAGGGGAGGGAGCUGCUUAAUUUCUUUCUCUUUUCCUUCUUACUUUCCUUUUCCCUUUCAUUUAUUCCCUCCUUUUUUUGCUCAUCUCUAUCAAUUGUAAUCAGAAUUCUAGUUCUCUGCAAGCAUGUUGUGUCGGGCCGCUCAACGGCGACAAACGCUACUCCAAUUAGGCAGAUCGUAUGAGCACCUAUCUUCCCCGUGGAUUUCCUCUGUGUACCCGCGAUUGAAGUGCCAAUCGAGCAGAAUUCAAACUUUGUGUCGACCGGUUAUCCUGCCAACACUCGAGGCUCCCAACUCCCUAUCCUUACAAUCCACCCGUUCAUUAGCGACAGCGACAUCAGAUAUCAAUAUUCCGUUCGAGGGCCUACCAUAUGGGCAUGCAGAGAUCCACUCGCCUCUAAAUGUCUCCCCUCUUUCGAAUUCGCCAUGGAACGAGCGGCUUCCUUAUCCGGAGCCCGACGACAUCGAUACCUCUUCAGUCAUCAUACGAAAGGAUUUCCUAAUCAGCCG